UACGUAGGGUGCGAGCGUUAAUCGGAUUUACUGGGCGUAAAGCGUGCGCAGGCGGCCCGUUAAGACAGGUGUGAAAUCCCUGGGCUCAACCUAGGAAUUGCGCUUGUGACUGGCGGGCUUGAGUACGGGAGAGGGGGGUGGAAUUCCUGGUGUAGCAGUGAAAUGCGUAGAGAUCAGGAGGAACACCGAUGGCGAAGGCAGCCCCCUGGGCCUGUACUGACGCUCAUGCACGAAAGCGUGGGGAGCAAACAGG
rnacentral:rRNA from 1 species